AGCGGAGGAAAAGAAACUAACAAGGAUUCCCCUAGUAACGGCGAGUGAAGAGGGAAAAGCCCAAAUUUGUAAUCUGGCUCUUUUAUAGGAGUCCGAGUUGUAAUUUUGAGAACUGUUUUCUGUGCUGGACCAUAUACAAGUCUGUUGGAAAACAGCAUCAUUGAGGGUGAUAAUCCCGUAGAUGAUAUGGACUACCAGUGCAAUAUGAUACAGUCUCUAAGAGUCGAGUUGUUUGGGAAUGCAGCUCAAAGUGGGUGGUAAAUUCCAUCUAAGGCUAAAUAUAGGUGAGAGACCGAUAGCAAACAAGUACCGUGAGGGAAAGAUGAAAAGAACUUUGGAAAGAGAGUUAACAGUACGUGAAAUUGUUAAAAGGGAAACAUUUGAAGUUAGACUUGUUAUUAUUGGUUCAGCUCCUCUUUUUUAAUUAGGAGUUUAUUCCAAUGGUUGACAGACCAGCAUCAAUUUUUGAGUGUUAGAUAAGGGUCUUGGAGAAUGUGGCAACUUUGGUUGUGUUAUAGCUCCUGGCUUGAUAUAAUGCUUAAGAUUGAGGAACGCAGUGAGCUUUAUUUUUUGAAGUGGAUUCUUUUGAAUCUUCAUCACUACGGAUGUUGGUGUAAUAGCUUUAAAUGACCCG
rnacentral:rRNA from 2 species